GACGAACGCUGGCGGCGUGCUUAACACAUGCAAGUCGAACGGAAAGGCCCUUCUUUUUUGGGGUGCUCGAGUGGCGAACGGGUGAUUAACACGUGAGUAACCUGCCCUUGACUUUGGGAUAACUUCAGGAAACUUGGUCUAAUACCUGAUAGGAGCUCCUGCUGCAUGGUGGGGGUUGGAAAGUUUCGGCGGUUGGGGUUGGACUCGCGGCUUAUCAGCUUGUUGGUGGGGUAGUGGCUUACCAAGGCUUUGACGGGUAGCCGGCCUGAGAGGGUGACCGGCCACAUUGGGACUGAGAGACGGCCCAGACUCCUACGGGAGGCAGCAGUGGGGAAUAUUGCACAAUGGGCGGAAGCCUGAUGCAGCAACGCCGCGUGCGGGAUGAGGGCCUUCGGGUUGUAAACCGCUUUCGCCUGUGACGAAGCGUGAGUGACGGUAAUGGGUAAAGAAGCACCGGCUAACUACGUG
rnacentral:rRNA from 1 species